rnacentral:rRNA from 1 species
CACACCAUGGGAGUCGGGAAUGCCCGAAGUCAGUGACCCAACCGAAAGGGGGAGCUGCCGAAGGCAGGCCUGGUAACUGGGGUGAAGUCGUAACAAGGUAAC